rnacentral:ncRNA from 1 species
CUAACGCCAGUUAGUGUGGAGUCGUCGUUGAAAUACCAGUCUGGUCGUGCUGGAUGUCUAACCUGGGUCCGUGAUCCGGAUCAGGGACAGUGUCUGAUGGGUAGUUUAACUGGGGCGGUUGCCUCCUAAAGAGUAACGGAGGCGCCCAAAGGUUCCCUCAGCCUGGUUGGCAAUCAGGUGUGGAGUGUAAGUGCACAAGGGAGCUUGACUGUGAGACCGACGGGUCGAGCAGGGACGAAAGUCGGGACUAGUGAUCCGGCGGUGGCUUGUGGAAGCGCCGUCGCUCAACGGAUAAAAGGUACCCCGGGGAUAACAGGCUGAUCUUCCCCAAGAGUCCAUAUCGACGGGAUGGUUUGGCACCUCGAUGUCGGCUCGUCGCAUCCUGGGGCUGGAGUCGGUCCCAAGGGUUGGGCUGUUCGCCCAUUAAAGCGGUACGCGAGCUGGGUUUAGAACGUCGUGAGACAGUUCGGUCCCUAUCCGCUGUGCGCGUAGGAGUCUUGAGAAGGGCUGUCCCUAGUACGAGAGGACCGGGACGGACGAACCUCUGGUGUGCCAGUUGUUCUGCCAAGGGCAUGGCUGGUUGGCUACGUUCGGGAGGGAUAACCGCUGAAAGCAUCUAAGCGGGAAGCCUGCUUCGAGAUGAGGACUCCCACCUCCUAGAGAGGGUAAGGCUCCCAGUAGACGACUGGGUUGAUAGGCCGGAUAUGGAAGCACGGUAACGUGUGGAGUUGACCGGUACUAAUAGGCCGAGGGCUUGUCCUC